rnacentral:rRNA from 1 species
AAAGCUCGUAGUUGAAUUUCGGGGUUCUACCGUUGGUCGGGCUAACCAGUCUGUACUAGCGUGUAGAAUUCCUACCUUCUGGAGAACCAUCAUGUUAUUAAUUUAGCGUGGUGGGAAACCAGGACCUUUACCUUGAAAAAAUUAGAGUGUUCAAAGCAGGCUUACGUCUGAAUACAUUAGCAUGGAAUAAUAGAAUAGGACGGUGGUCCUGUUUUGUUGGUUUCUGAAUCACCGUAAUGAUUAAUAGGGAUAGUUGGGGGCAUUAGUAUUCAAUUGUCAGAGGUGAAAUUCUUGGAUUUAUUGAAGACUAACUUCUGCGAAAGCAUUUGCCAAGGAUGUUUUCAUUAAUCAAGAACGAAAGUUAGGGGAUCGAAGACGAUCAGAUACCGUCGUAGUCUUAACCAUAAACUAUGCCGACUAGGGAUCGGACGAUGUUAAAUUUUAUUGACUCGUUCGGCACCU